AGGUGCUCUGUGCAGACAGGGUGUUUGCGGUUGCAGAGGCAGCUGGGUGGCAGGCAUCAGUCACGGCUGGAAAGCACAGAACGCGAGCAGUGCUCUGAGCACUGCCAUGAAGGAAUUACUGCCUGUGCUGUCCCUACUCGUGGCUCUGAGAUGGGCCCUGGCCCAGGUUUUCCAGCCCUCUCAGCUCACGUAUGUGGAAGGAGAAAGGCUCUUGAUCCUAUGCAGCCAAAAUGCCACCUCCCAUGACAUGAUGUCUUGGUACAAACAGCCCCAGCAGGGCCGGGGGGCACUGAGCUUUCUAGGGAUUGGGCAUGACGGCACCUCCACUGCUGGAGAAUUCACCAUGGCUGUGGACAAGGUCUCCCGCUCCACCAACCUCACCCGAGAUGGAGCCAGCCUGAGCGAUGCUGGCAUCUACUACUGCGCAGUGAGAGACACAGUGAGGGGAACCCAGGUGCCAGCUGCACAGAAACCUGCAGCCUGGCUUCCUGCUGGGUCCUCCUGAGCCAGCCCAGCACUGGGUACCCCUCGCUUCACAUUGAAGCGCCUCUUCUAUUCAAAAGACUUUUUCAAAGUGCUUUAGAAUCUGCAUGCAGAAUCAGAUCUGCUGGAAAACUGCUAGGAUAGAUGGGAGGUUAAUAUACAGUGUG